AUUUUAUGCCGACGUUCAAGAUUCAGGGUCAGAUUUACCACCGCGCUGGCUCAUUAUUACCAUAUCCUGAUACCGACCGUCAAUUCUUACAAAUCUAUUUCGUUGGAAAUGAAAAUCGCGAAUUGGAUCGGCGAUGUACAAUUGCUUCCAGGGCAAGGCGACAAAUUGUUUCUGAGCUUCAAACAAUUUUUCAUCAACACAAUGAAUUAGUUCGAUUAUUCAAAAUCGCUCUCGAUCGUAUGCCAUCGGAUAACCACAAAAUCAUCAUAAAAGCCGAUAGAACACCCAUUGAAGAGCACGCAAGACGAUUUAAUGCACCGACAAUCGAUGAUGUGGCUAUUGUAAUUGUUGGAGACCAGUUUCAAUCUCGCGACAUCGUAGAAGAAGAAAUAAGCAAUUACAGCGAGUUUCAGAGCUUCACCGCAGCUAUGAUGGAUUACAAUAUCCAUUAUUGUACUGGAAAGGUGAUGACGCCUAUAAUAUCCUUAUACCAAUGAUAGAUCCACAAACCGGUCGUGACAUU
rnacentral:sRNA from 1 species